AGAGUUUGAUCCUGGCUCAGAACGAACGCUGGCGGCAUGCCUAACACAUGCAAGUCGAACGGGAUCCGAGCUUCGGUUCGGUGAGAGUGGCGGACGGGUGAGUAACGCGUGGGAACCUGCCCAGUGGUGGGGGAUAACUGCGGGAAACUGCAGCUAAUACCGCAUGAGCCCCGAGUGUAACAGCUUGGGGGAAAGAUUUAUCGCCAUUGGAGGGGCCCGCGUUUGAUUAGGUAGUUGGUGAGGUAACGGCUCACCAAGCCGACGAUCGAUAGCUGGUCUGAGAGGAUGAUCAGCCACACUGGGACUGAGAUACGGCCCAGACUCCUACGGGAGGCAGCAGUGGGGAAUAUUGGACAAUGGGGGCAACCCUGAUCCAGCAAUGCCGCGUGAGUGAUGAAGGCCUUCGGGUUGUAAAGCUCUUUUGCCAGGGACGAUGAUGACGGUACCUGGAGAAUAAGCCCCGGCUAACUUCGUGCCAGCAGCCGCGGUAAUA
rnacentral:rRNA from 1 species